CACGUAGGAGGCGAGCGUUGUCCGGAAUCACUGGGCGUAAAGCGCGUGUAGGCGGGAGCGGCAGUCUGUGGUGAAAGCGCCUGGCUUAACCGGGCGAGGUCCAUGGAAACUCUGCUCCUGGAGGCCGGUAGAGGGGGGUGGAAUUCCGGGUGUAGUGGUGAAAUGCGUAGAGAUCCGGAGGAACACCCGUGGCGUAGGCGGCCCCCUGGGCCGCGCCUGACGCUGAGACGCGAAAGCGCGGGGAGCGAACGGG
rnacentral:rRNA from 1 species